GACUCGUCCUGCUUUUAUUCAUUACGUGAUCUUGCGUGGCAGCAGCCCGACGUCAGUGAGGAGCUGGAGGAGGAUGAGGCAGGAGCUGGAGGAGGAGCAGUGGGGGCGACGAAGGCUGACCCAGAGUUUUUUUCUGAAGUUGAAGGCGCAGGAGCUGGAGUGCUCUCAGUCCCCAGGGACAGAUCAAAUAGCAGCCGCAGCAGCUGAUUCCCCCCAGGGUGCCAGGAACGAUGCUCGUGGGGCGCAUCUCUUGUCUGCAGCAAACAUGUUGGUGCCAGGGCCGCUGCUUUGCAGAGCUGCUCCCGGGCUGAGGAGGCAGGGGCUGCGCUUCGCUUCCAUCCAGCAAGCUGUCACUCAGCCAGAAAUCAGCAUUUAAGAUCUCACCUUCCCUCCGUGCCCUCGCAGGGGCUGACAGCCGCUCUGCGCGGCGGUUUGUCUGCGGGGCGCACGGCAGCAUCCAUUCUGCGCUUGUACCACAUGUUGGCUGCGAACUGAUGCCCAUUGCCUGACUCUGACUUCAACAAUUCCAGCCCGGUAUUUUUCCAGGGGGGAGAAUUUUUCAUUUUCCCCUGUCCAGCAAACUGUAAGAGCCACCAGCCAAAUUACCACUUUCUCUUGUGUAACUGCUCUUUAAUUUCGCCGGCUGGAUCCAGGUGGCUCAGAGGACGGUGUGGGAAUGCAAGAGCGGUGCAGAGCUCAGGCUUCAGCACUGGGAGCAGGGGCAGAGGCUGGUGGGGAAGGAGUUAAGGGCAGCCUUGGCUGGAGGAGCAGCACAACUGGGCUGCAGGAGGUGUUUGCCAGGGGAAUCAGCGCCUUCCAUGGCUAUGAAAGCGCUGGUGCUGGAGCACUGCGGGCUUUGGUGGCGGCGGCUGAGGUUUGCCAGCUAGAAGGAAGAUGGGGGAAGAGAGGGAAGCGUUAUUUUUAGCCCUGUUUCUUACCGCGGUGUUUGAUAACAGGGCUUCAGGCAGUAGCUGUUGCACAAGGUCUCUGCAGCAGCCCCGCGUUGCGUUCUCAAGAGCGGGUGAUGGAGAGGGGCAGCGCGCCCGGGGACGAGCGCCGCGUGUGGAUGAGGCUCCGGGGGCUCGCUGGGUUCAGGAUCCUCUCAAGAUUUCCACCUCGCACUCAUGCUGUAGGAAGCUCUUCUCUGCUCUUGAAACAGCUGCUUGAGCCUUUCUGCUUCUGUCUUUCCCCAGCUAUGCUCAGUACCUAGCAGCCAGCCCAGCCCCGGCAGCCAGUUUAAAGCAGCUCAACUCUUUGGUGGAGAGAAGAGGUGUUUGACAAACGCUUGUGCUUCAGAUCUUAAAAAUUUAAGGUCUAGCUAGUCUGGAAGAUAUCUUCACUGAAAGGUAUUCAAUUUUUCAAUUAAAGAAGCCAAGUAGGUGUACUUCACAUUUUUCAAAACCGUUUUUAGUGAGAGCUGCUCAAACUCUGGCUAAAACCCAAUGCUGCUGCUCUCAGCAGGUCCAGGGGCUGCGUCUUAGCUGAAUAUGUCACAUUUAUUAUUGCAUCUUAGCCUUUCUAAUCGAUACGUUAACUUCCUCUGCUGUUAGCUGCUUUGUCUGGGUUACAGAAGUGUGGGAGCAACCAGAAACACGGGGGUUUCUGCUGCGCUUUGGGCUAGUUGCAGCGAGGAGCCCAUCUGCACGUGGCAGGCAGCCCCCUGCCCUCUGCCUUCCCAUCCAUGGAGCCCCUGCUUGGGGGAUGAGGGGCUGGAGGGGCUGCUUGGCCCCGUGGCACCCAGGAGCUGCGCUCACUGAUGCUGGCACUGCCUGGGUGCCACCUCGCCCUGCCAGCAGGCUCCAGCCCGGUGCAAGGCGAUGCCAUGCAGCCAGUCCUCAUGGGGAAGGGCAGGGCUGGCUUCCUGCCCCCUGAUCAGCUUGGCAACAAAUAGAGGCCCCCUGGGGAAUGAAACCCAGCACGUUCCAGUCCUUUAACCCAUGGUGAUAUGUCACUGAUCAGCACAAUUGGUUCUAAUAGCUCCCCAGGUAGAUUCAGGAGAGCAACGAGUUGAACAUAAAAAUCCCUUUAUUAUUGCCAUUUUGCUUUUAUAUAACCAUCAAGCUUUCAUAUUUAAUCUCCUACAUCACAAUAGCUGAUCAUUUUUAACAUUUGACAUUGAUAAAGUGCCCGCUGCUAUUAUUCUGACAUACUAUAAAACAUUACACCCAUUUGCAAUAGAAAAGGCAAAGAAUCAAUACUCAGCCCCAUUUUCCAGCUCGGCAGUAAAUCACAGAGAGCCUAACAAAUUGUUUUAAAUAUAAGCACCUUCAGAACCAAUAAAGAAUCCAACCAAUCCCUGUCCA
rnacentral:lncRNA from 1 species